UGUUCUCCCUUAGCAGCGCUACAGUAAAAUUGGAACAAGACAGAGAUUAGCAUGGCCCCUAUGCAAAGAUGACAUGCAAAUCCAUGAAUCAUUCCAUAUUAAA
rfam:Canis lupus familiaris chromosome 10, whole genome shotgun sequence.